rnacentral:rRNA from 1 species
UACGGGGGGUGCAAGCGUUAUUCGGAAUUAUUGGGCGUAAAGGGCGCGUAGGCGGUUGAAUAAGUCAGAUGUGAAAGCCCUUGGCGUAACCAAGGAAGUGCAUUUGAUACUAUUUGACUUGAGUAUGGGAGAGGGAAGUGGAAUUCCUGGUGUAGAGGUGAAAUUCGUAGAUAUCAGGAGGAACACCGGUGGCGAAAGCGACUUCCUGGACCAAUACUGACGCUGAGGCGCGAAGGCGUGGGGAGCAAUCAUG